CUGUAUUUAACCUGGUCAAUGAAAAAAACUGAAGACUUAUUUUAAAAAGAAACUGAACUUAUUUUUACAAGAAUGUUUUACACAGAAAUGUUGCUUUUAUGCUAACUGAGGUAUCCUGAAAGUUUUAUGACAAUCUAUCAACAAUUAAAGUCCAAAUUCAAAUUUUAGAACUUUUUUGUGGGCAAAAUUCAAAUUUUACAAAAAAACAUGGUUUCUUUGGACAAAAAUUCAAAACUGUUAAAGAUCCUUUUGCCACUCAGCAGAGUUCUUUAGAAUGAUAUAUAAUUUGAAUGGUAUUAUCUUAUAUUUUAGUAAGUUAUACAUGUAUUUAAAGAGAAAUAAAGGAAAAUCCUUGUUACAGAAAAGGUUGAUAAAACAGUACAUGUAAAUUUUUUUAGAUAAAUUUUAUACAAACCAGUUAUGAUAUCCAUAAACAAACCAAUGUUACCUUUAAAUACUCAACUUAUCUUUAAAGUUAGUAUGAAUUUGUUAUUUUAAUUUUAGCCAGGAUUGAAAUGUAUUUAUGAAUAUUUUAUGUCUUUAUUUCUUCCAGAAUGAGUUUUUAAAAAUUUAUUUUUGUAAAUCCUAAAUUUAAUUACUUUUAAUUCAAACUAGUUUUAAAGUGAAAUUUUAAUUUUCACUUCAUAAAUCUUCUUUUCAUCUUGCUGUAAGAUAAAGUUCAAAACCUGCCAUUAAUCUAACGUAUGUUGUAAGCUACCUUAAAAUCUUGCUGUAUAUGAAGUUGUACUGUUAAAUUCUGAUGAAGUCUUGUUAAAAAAUGCUUAGUUUUCUUUUUUUUGUUAAGGUAGUGGAGGUGUAAUGACAGCUGGCUAAUUAGGGAUUCUCUGUAUGUAAUUUUGGCAUUCUCUCGUUUUAUUGAAAGCUAUAUACGCUUCGAGCUAUAUUUACGUCCGAAGAAUGCUGAGUUGCCAAGCAGGAGUAUGAAAUAACACCGAAAUUGCUAAGUGUCUUAGGGGUCUACAACCUUAAACCGGAAAAAACAUUGUUUUAUUUCUGUCUAACAAAUUGUAAUAUAGCAACUUUUAUGAACUUUUACCAGGUUUUUUAUUUUCAAAAACCUAGUACAUCAAAAUAUCCAUAUAUAUAUAUACUAGAUUUUACAAAACCAUAACAUCACACUUGGGUCAUUGUAUUACAGAUAUAUUACACUGUUAUAUAUAUAUAUAUAUCAUUAUCAUCUGAUCAUUAUACAGACACAACCAUUAUGUUACAUGUUAUAUGAAACCAGAAAAGAUGGAGGACAAAAUAAAAAUUAUAACUGUA
rnacentral:lncRNA from 1 species